rnacentral:tRNA from 1 species
GGGGAUGUAGUUCAGUGGUAGAGCGCAUGCUUUACAUAUAUGAGGCCACGGGUUUGAUCCUUGGCAUCUCUG